GAUGAACGCUAGCUACAGGCUUAACACAUGCAAGUCGAGGGGCAGCAUGAAAGUUUGCUUGCAAACUUUUGAUGGCGACCGGCGCACGGGUGAGUAACACGUAUCCAACCUGCCUCAUACUCGGGGAUAGCCUUUCGAAAGAAAGAUUAAUACCCGAUGUUAUAGUCCUACCGCAUGAUGGGAUUAUUAAAGAAUUUCGGUAUGGGAUGGGGAUGCGUUCCAUUAGUUAGUUGGCGGGGUAACGGCCCACCAAGACAACGAUGGAUAGGGGUUCUGAGAGGAAGGUCCCCCACAUUGGGACUGAGACACGGCCCAG
rnacentral:rRNA from 1 species